UACGAGGGGUGCAAGCGUUGCUCGGAAUUAUUGGGCGUAAAGGGUAGGUAGGUGGUCUCAUUUGUCUGGGGUGAAAGCCUCGAGCUUAACUCGAGAAGUGCCCCGGAAACGGUGAGACUAGAGUACUGGAGAGGGUCGUGGAAUUCCCGGUGUAGCGGUGAAAUGCGCAGAUAUCAGGAGGAACACCGAUGGCGAAGGCAGGUCUCUGGGCCGAUACUGACGCUGAGGAGCGAAAGCGUGGGGAGCGAACAGG
rnacentral:rRNA from 1 species